UUCACCCUCACCUCAGCGCCGCAGACCUCACUACCUUGCGCUACUCUGGACUCUCAACCCUCGUCUUCCAUUCUCUUUUGGCCUCUGCCAUCCUCCGGAGUCCAGACUGCAGCAGCCGCGAAGGAGCCUUUCUCCCCCUUAUCCCCUCCUUCUCCCUCUCCCUUUCUCAUACCCGCGCUCUCUCCAUCGUCUCCCACGCAGUGAAAUAGCAGCAAUAGUACAGCACGCACCAUCGCCCUCCGUGAAGCACAGCGCAGUGCAGUCUAGCCGCUGUGUCUUCCGUCACACAGUUCUUCUAGCCUCGUCGCCUCCGUCGCAGCAUCUCCCUCUAUCGCAGCAUCUCUGUUGUCUGUAAUGGAGCCUAAGCUUCAGGUUCUUUGUUUGCUGAACAAUUUUUUGCAAUCUUGCUAAGAAACAUCAAAAUAUGGCUGCUUUGCUGUACAAAUUAAUGGAAGCAACUUUUUUUUCUUUUUAUUGUGUUGAACUUUUCAUGUUUUUCGAUUGUUGUAUUUAUAAUUUCUUUUGUUGUUGAACUUCUUGUAUCAAGAUUUUUGUUAGUUAUUAUGUUGUAUGACUGUAUUUAUGACUUUGUGAAAUUAAACUUGUUAUUUUGUUGCAUAUGUUUUUGUUGAAAAUAACAUAGGACAGAGUUUUAGUACAUGAGAAAUAACUGAAACUGAAUUCAUUUUUUCAGUUGAAAAACCGAAUAAAUCGAACCAAAUCAAACCGAUUUUAAUUGGUUUGGUU